rnacentral:rRNA from 1 species
ACGAACGCUGGCGGCGUGCUUAACACAUGCAAGUCGAACGAAGCUUGAUUACGGAUUCUUCGGAUGAAGUAUGAUAUGACUGAGUGGCGGACGGGUGAGUAACGCGUGAGUAACCUGCCCUUCAGAGGGGGAUAGCGUUUGGAAACGAACGGUAAUACCGCAUAAUGUAUUUUGACCGCAUGAUCGAAAUACCAAAGAUUUAUCGCUGAAGGAUGGACUCGCGUCUGAUUAGGUAGUUGGUGGGGUAACGGCCUACCAAGCCGACGAUCAGUAGCCGGACUGAGAGGUUGAUCGGCCACAUUGGGACUGAGACACGGCCCAGACUCCUACGGGAGGCAGCAGUGGGGAAUAUUGCACAAUGGGCGCAAGCCUAAUGCAGCAACGCCGCGUGAAGGAAGACGGUUUUCGGAUUGUAAACUUCUGUUCUUAGUGAAGAAUAAUGACGGUAGCUAAGGAGCAAGCCACGGCUAACUACGUG